AUUGAUCCCAGAGACUCUUUCUCACUGAGGUACAUCUCCAGUCCUGAUUUUUUAUUUUAAGACAGGGUCUCACUAAGUUGAAAAUUGCUGAGGCUGACCUCAAACUUGCGAUCUUCCUGCCUCAGCCUCCUGAGACACUGGAAUUACAGGCAUGUACCACCAUGCCCGACUGUUAUCCUAAUUUUAAAGGUCCCAGGAUCAGCAGCAGUGGUAUUGCAUUGGAGAGUACCAGGAUGCAUGUUCAGAGGCAGCACCUUGAUCUUCUGAGUCAGAAACUGUGGCUGAGCCCAGCACUCUGUAUUCUACCAUACUCUCCAGAACUCAAAGACAUCAACGUGGCCUUGUCAACAUGACCUAGAACACCCAUGGCCUGUAACACAGACCGAGGAGGGCUCUGGAG